rnacentral:rRNA from 1 species
CAGUCGCCACGGUAAUACAGAGGAUGCAAGCGUUAUCCGGAAUGAUUGGGCGUAAAGCGUCUGUAGGUGGCUUUUCAAGUCCGCCGUCAAAUCCCAGGGCUCAACCCUGGACAGGCGGUGGAAACUACCAAGCUGGAGUACGGUAGGGGCAGAAGGAAUUUCUGGUGGAGCGGUGAAAUGCGUUGAGAUCGGAAAGAACACCAACGGUGAAAGCACUCUGUUGGGCCGACACUGACACUGAGAGACGAAAGCUAGGGGAGAAAAUGGGAUUAGAUACCCGCGUAGUCCCUGUCUCUUAUAA